rnacentral:rRNA from 1 species
GGACUACAGGGGUAUCUAAUCCUGUUUGAUCCCCGCACUUUCGUGCCUCAGCGUCAGUUACAGUUUUGUGAGCUGCCUUCGCAAUCGGUGUUCUAUGACAUCUCUAUGUAUUUCACCACUACAUGUCAUAUUCCGCCCACAGCAUCUGUACUCAAGUCCUGCAGUAUCAAUGGCAGUUUCUUCGUUAAGCGAAGAGAUUUCACCACUGACUUACAAGACCGCCUACGCACCCUUUAAACCCAAUGAAUCCGGAUAACGCUUGCAUCCUUCGUCUUACCGCGGCUGCUGGCAC